GACGAACCGUGCGAACGUUAUUCGGAAUCACUGGGCUUAAAGCGCGUGUAGGCGGAUGGGGACGUCGGCCACUGAAAGCCCCUGGCUCAACCGGGGAAGGGGUGCCGAAACGGCCCGUCUGGAGGGGCGUAGGGGGACCUGGAACUUCCGGUGGAGCGGUGAAAUGCGUUGAGAUCGGAAGGAACGCCCGUGGCGAAAGCGGCGUGCUGGACCCCUUCUGACGCUGAGGCGCGAAAGCCAGGGGAGCAAACGGG
rnacentral:rRNA from 1 species